AGUCCAGCGGUUAGGACUCUGCCCUUCCACUGCAGAAGGCCCAGGUUUGAUCCCUGG
rnacentral:tRNA from 1 species